rnacentral:rRNA from 1 species
AUAGAGACUCAGAGCUGCAUAUCAAUAAGCGGAGGAAAAGAAACUAACAAGGAUUCCCUUAGUAACGGCGAGUGAAGCGGGAAGAGCUCAAAUUUGAAAUCUUCAAGGUUUUACCUUGACGAAUUGUAGUUUAAAGAAGUGUUUUCUGUUGAAGUUUCGGUAAAAGUUCUUUGGAAUAGGACAUCAUAGAGGGUGAGAAUCCCGUAUUUGGUCAUUCCUCCUAGCGUUGUGAUACACUUUCAACGAGUCGGAUUGUUUGGGAAUGCAGUCCAAAAUGGGUGGUAAAUUUCAUCUAAAGCUAAAUAUUGGCGAGAGACCGAUAGCGAACAAGUACCGUGAGGGAAAGAUGAAAAGAACUUUGAAAAGAGAGUUAAACAGUACGUGAAAUUGUCAAAAGGGAAGCGUUUGACACCAGUGUUGUUUUUCCGAAAAUCAAUUACGAAUGUUUUGUUUUUGAGGAGUUAUGACUUCAUCGGCUUGCUCCUUUCUUUAUGAAACUUUCUUAAUGCACUUUUCGGUUAACAAGUCAACAUCAAUUUCCUUUGUUGUAAAAGGGUAAUGAGGAAGGUGGCUUUACUUUCGGAGUAAAGUGUUUAUAGCCUUUUAGCCUCUGCAAUCGGAGAGAUUGAGGUCUGCAGCGUAGAUCCUUCGGGGUUAGAUACGUUUGUGCUAAGUUAUAGCUUUUCAUAGACAACUUGUUGACUAUGUUAAGUCUUGUACUUACUCGCAUGACUGCUAUUUUACCUACGCUUAGGAUGUUGAUAUGCAUGACUGAUAU